UGGAAAGAUGGCUGAGUGGCCGAAAGCACGUCCCUGCUAAGGACGCAUACCCCUUAAAAGGUAUCGAGGGUUCGAAUCCCUCUCUUUCCGU
rnacentral:tRNA from 1 species